rnacentral:rRNA from 1 species
UACGGGGGGGGCAAGCGUUGUUCGGAAUUACUGGGCGUAAAGGGCUCGUAGGCGGCCAACUAAGUCGAACGUGAAAUCCCUCGGCUUAACCGGGGAACUGCGCUUGAUACUGGAUGGCUUGAGAUUGGGAGAGGGAUGCGGAAUUCCAGGUGUAGCGGUGAAAUGCGUAGAUAUGUGGAGGAACACCGAUGGCGAAGGCAGCCCCCUGGGUUAACACUGACGCUCAUGCACGAAAGCGUGGGGAGCAAACAGG